rnacentral:rRNA from 1 species
GGAUGAACGUUGGCGGCGUGCCUAAUACAUGCAAGUCGAACGAAGACUGUAGUAAUACUGUCUUAGUGGCGAACGGGUGAGUAACGCGUGGGUGACCUGCCCCGAAGUGUGGGAUAACAGUUCGAAAGGAUUGCUAAUACUGCAUAAUAUCCAAGAGAUUAGACGCUUUUGGAUUAAAGGAGUAAUUCGCUUCGGGAGGGGCCCGCGUCCCAUCAGCUAGUUGGUAAGGUAAUGGCUUACCAAGGCGAUGACGGGUAGGGGACCUGAGAGGGUGGCCCCCCACAAUGGAACUGAAACACGGUCCAUACACCUACGGGUGGCAGCAGUAGGGAAUAUUAGUAAUGGGCGAAAGCCUGAACUAGCAACGCCGCGUGUGCGAAGAAGGCCUUCGGGUCGUAAAGCACUUUUUGAGAGGAUGAGGAAGGACGGUACUCUCAGAAUAAGUCUCGGCUAACUACGUGCCAGCAGCCGCGGUAACACGUAGGAGGCAAACGUUAUCCGGAUUUACUGGGCGUAAAGCGCGUGUAGGUGGUUUGGUAAGUAGGGCGUGAAAGCUCCUGGCUCAACUGGGAGAGGACGUUCUAAACUGCCAAGCUUGAGGAUGGUAGAGGGAGGUGGAAUUCCGGGUGUGGCGGUGGAAUGCGCAGAUAUCCGGAGGAACACCAGUGGCGAAGGCGGCCUCCUGGACCACUCCUGACACUCAGACGCGAAAGCUAGGGUAGCAAACGGGAUUAGAGACCCCGGUAGUCCUAGCCCUAAACGAUGUAGACUUGGCGUCGGUGGUUUAAUCGCCAUCGGUGUCGUAGCUAACGCGAUAAGUCUACCGCCUGGGGACUACGGCCGCAAGGUUAAAACUCAUAGGAAUUGACGGGUCCCCGCACAAGCAGCGGAGCGUGUGGUUUAAUUCGAUGCUACACGAAGAACCUUACCUGGGUUCGACAUGCAGGUGUUAGUGAAGAGAGAUCGGAACGACUCUGCAGUAAUGCAGGGAGCCUGCACAGGUGCUGCAUGGCUGUCGUCAGCUCGUGUCGUGAGAUGUUGGGGUAAGUCCCGCAACGAGCGCAACCCCUAUUGCCAGUUGCUAACAGGAGAGCUGAGCACUCUGGCGAGACUGCCGCCGACAAGGCGGAGGAAGGUGGGGAUGACGUCAAGUCAUCAUGGCCUUUAUGCCCAGGGCUACACACGUGCUACAAUGGCCGGCACAGACGGCAGCUUAGUGGCGACACUUGGCCAAUCCUCUAAAGCCGGUCCCAGUUCGGAUUGCAGUCUGCAACUCGACUGCAUGAAGUCGGAAUCGCUAGUAAUCGCAGAUCAGCCAAGCUGCGGUGAAUACGUUCCCGGGCCU